rnacentral:rRNA from 1 species
ACUCCUACGGGAGGCAGCAGUGGGGAAUAUUGCACAAUGGGGGAAACCCUGAUGCAGCCAUGCCGCGUGAGUGAUGAAGUAUUUCGGUAUGUAAAGCUCUAUCAGCAGGGACGAAAAAAGACGGUACCUGACUAAGAAGCCCCGGCUAACUACGUGCCAGCAGCCGCGGUAAUACGUAGGGGGCAAGCGUUAUCCGGAUUUACUGGGUGUAAAGGGAGCGUAGGUGGUAUGAUAAGUCAGAUGUGAAAGCCCAGGGCUUAACCCUGGGACUGCAUUUGAAACUGUCAAACUAGAGUGCAGGAGAGGUAAGUGGAAUUCCUAGUGUAGCGGUGAAAUGCGUAGAUAUUAGGAGGAACACCAGUGGCGAAGGCGACUUACUGGACUGUAACUGACACUGAGGCUCGAAAGCGUGGGGAGCAAACAGGAUUAGAUACCCUGGUAGCGAG